rnacentral:lncRNA from 1 species
CCUGAACCUUCCAAGUAAUGGUUAUUCUCCAGGACUUCAACAGCAUCUAUGGGAAUUUGCAAACAUGCAGCACCAUUUUCAUCUUCUUCAAUAUCAACUUCGUAUUUGACGAAAGUUGGAGGGGCGAUGCAAUUUGUGUUGAGGGAAGCAGUGACGCCUCCGCAUUGCACUGCUAUCAACUUUCUCAUGAUACUUAACGUGAUGAGGAGCUAAAUUAUUGUCCCAGCCUCCAUGGCGACGGAUAAAGUGUAGGAAUGUGUUGCUGGUUCAUCUUCUGUGUCAAUCAAUUCUUUUCUAGGUCGGAGAUGGUAUGGAGCGUGACAGCAGUCCAGGAUGAACGUUUUUCGACGAGAAUCCCUGAUGAUAACUACUGAUGCCUGAAGUGGUCAAAAUUAUCCUUUUUUCCAUUGAGAUGUUACUUGAAUACCUGGAGCUCAAGUAAACUGACGAUAUGAUCGAAAGAAGCUUCAAUUUCAAAACCAGGAAUUUUUAGUUUCCAAUAAUCGUCAAACAGGUUUCUAACCGGUUUUGCGUAUGGCAAUCAUCUAAGACGACAUAAACUUUUUGAAUUGUGAUGAGGAUGAAAAAAAAAAUUACGAAAAAGCUCUCUUGCCAAAGGAAAGAUAUCUGUCUUUCUGCGUCUUCCAUAGCUUUCUUCUUUUCUCUCAGCCACUUCACUUUUUCCUUGUACUUCUUGUUAGAUUCAUGAUAUUUGUAGGGAUUUCUUUAAGUCACGAAUCUCCUUCCACAUCGUUGUUUUCUGAAACUAUAAUGGUGACUGAAAAAGGGUUCUUUUGUUUCUAACUCGUGGUAGAAAUCUGGACUUUUCAAAUUCUUUCACUUCUUUUUAUUUUUGUUUACACUUGCAGAUUUCGAUUUUUUGGGAUCAGUAUGUUUGGUUGAGUAUUGAGUUGAUUCAUGGGCGUCCAAAGCUUCAUACAUUAUAAGCAUUCUUCGUGAUUUCUUCUUUGGUGGUAUCAAUUGCAGAGAUAAGGAGAGGAGAACGGAUCGUAUUGCAGCUGCCAGAAGGGAUGCCCGUCGAGCAGAAAGAGUGUGGAGAAGUCGUCACUUGGCCGUCGACAAGUCAAUUAUCUAUUUUUUUUGUUCUCUCCCACCUCAUUCAGGAUGCAAAGACUAAUAGCUAACGACAACGAGCUGACUAUGGCAAUGACCAGCUCUUCAAACGGAUGGAUGAAUGCCUUCUGAAUAUAACAGAUCUGAAAUUUCCAAAGCAUGAUACACCAAGUUUGUAUUUCAUGUCAAAGAUAUCUAAUGUCAGGACGGUUUUGGAUGCUUCAGCUGACACACUACGGGUACCUAAGGAAGGAAAUGGGGAUAUCAACCAAACCUGCAUAACUCAUUCGGAACUUCUCGCAAGUCUCGGAGAACUAUGUUAUCUCGAUGGUGAAAAAAAUGUCCUGCGAAGUCCUGCUCAUUGGCUCCAGUUCCUACGUCCCUUCUAAAGAUUUCCUUUGACUUUCCUGCUUCUCCUCUUGCUUCAAUCUUACACUUGUCUCUAACCACUGGUAUUUUUCCAGGCGCAUUGAAAAAGGCUCAUGUAUCUCAACUGCUCAAGAAGCCGGAAAACUGACACUAUCCUUGUAUACUCUAGAUCAGCCAGAACUCAGCCGAAAUACGUUCGCAUUGAAGUCGGAGAAGAAAGCAUCAAGCCAUCAUUAUCCAUCCGUAACAUUGAAUUUACCCUCGACUCAAACUUCACUCUGGAGAAUCCUGUAAAGAACAUCUGCAAGCCCAUUUCUAUAUUCAGAGAAUUGGGAGGAAUUCAUCCUUCU